CAGUAGCCGCGGGAAUACGGAGGGGGCUAGCGUUGUUCGGAAUUACUGGGCGUAAAGCGCACGUAGGCGGUUUGGUAAGUUAGAGGUGAAAGCCCGGAGCUCAACUCCGGAAUUGCCUUUAAGACUGCCGAGCUAGUAGGUGAGAGAGGUAAGUGGAAUUCCGAGUGUAGAGGUGAAAUUCGUAGAUAUUCGGAAGAACACCAGUGGCGAAGGCGGCUUACUGGCUCAUUCUAGACGCUGAGGUGCGAAAGCGUGGGGAGCAAACAGGAUUAGAGACCCCAGUAGUCCCUGUCUCUUAUAC
rnacentral:rRNA from 1 species